GAUGAAGAACGUAGCGAAAUGCGAUAAGUAGUGUGAAUUGCAGAAUUCAGUGAAUCAUCGAAUCUUUGAACGCACAUUGCGCCCCUUGGUAUUCCAUGGGGCAUGCCUGUUCGAGCGUCAUCUGCACCCUCAAGCACUGCUUGGUGAUGGGCGUCUGUCCCGCCUCUGCGCGCGGACUCGCCCCAAAGGUAUUGGCAGCGGUCCUGUCCGCCUCUCGCGCAGCACAGAUGCGCUUCUCGAGGCUUCGGGGCCCGCGUCCAUGAAGCUCUUUUACCACGUUUGACCUCGGAUAAGGUAGGGAUACCCGCUGAACUUAAGCAUAUCAAUAAGCGGAGGA
rnacentral:misc_RNA from 1 species